rnacentral:rRNA from 1 species
AACGAACGCUGGCGGCAGGCCUAACACAUGCAAGUCGAGCGAACCCUUCGGGGUUAGCGGCGGACGGGUUAGUAACGCGUGGGAAUAUACCCUUUGGUACGGAAUAGCCUCGGGGAAACUGAGAGUAAUACCGUAUGUGCCCUUCGGGGGAAAGAUUUAUCGCCAAAGGAUUAGCCCGCGUUGGAUUAGAUAGUUGGUGGGGUAAUGGCCUACCAAGUCUACGAUCCAUAGCUGGUUUGAGAGGAUGAUCAGCAACACUGGGACUGAGACACGGCCCAGACUCCUACGGGAGGCAGCAGUGGGGAAUCUUAGACAAUGGGCGCAAGCCUGAUCUAGCCAUGCCGCGUGGACGAUGAAGGCCUUAGGGUUGUAAAGUCCUUUCAGAUGGGAAGAUAAUGACGGUACCAUCAGAAGAAGCCCGGCUAACUCCGUGCCAGCAGCCGCGGUAAAGUAG